rnacentral:rRNA from 1 species
GACGAACGCUGGCGGCGUGCCUAAUACAUGCAAGUCGAACGCAGUGGGGACGGGUGAGUAACACGUGGGUAACCUCCCAUCAGAGGGGAUAACACUUGGAAACAGGUGCUAAACCGAUACUGAUGGAUGGACCCGCGGUGCAUUAGCUAGUUGGUGAGGUAACGGCGCACCAAGGCCACGAUGCAUAGCCGUCCUGAGAGGGUGAUCGGCCAAACCGGGACUGAGAACCGACCCCGACGCCGACGGGAGGCCGCAGUGGGGAAGUUUCGGCAAGGGACGAAAUGUUGAACGAGCAACGCAGGGUGAGGGAAGAAGGUUUUCGGAUUGUAAAACUCUUUUGUUAGAGAAGAGGUAUUUAACCAGAAAGCCACGGCUAACGACGUGCCAGCAGCCGCGGUAAUAC